CUGCCGAGGGGAGGUCUAAACCAACAAGAACUGCUAACUCUCGCAUCUGAGUCUA
rnacentral:tRNA from 1 species